rnacentral:rRNA from 1 species
GACGAACGCUGGCGGCGUGCCUAAUACAUGCAAGUUGAGCGAUGAAGAUUGGUGCUUGCACCAAUUUGAAGAGCAGCGAACGGGUGAGUAACGCGUGGGGAAUCUGCCUUUGAGCGGGGGACAACAUUUGGAAACGAAUGCUAAUACCGCAUAACAACUUUAAACAUAAGUUUUAAGUUUGAAAGAUGCAAUUGCAUCACUCAAAGAUGAUCCCGCGUUGUAUUAGCUAGUUGGUGAGGUAAAGGCUCACCAAGGCGAUGAUACAUAGCCGACCUGAGAGGGUGAUCGGCCACAUUGGGACUGAGACACGGCCCAAACUCCUACGGGAGGCAGCAGUAGGGAAUCUUCGGCAAUGGACGAAAGUCUGACCGAGCAACGCCGCGUGAGUGAAGAAGGUGUUCGGAUCGUAAAACUCUGUUGGUAGAGAAGAACGUUGGUGAGAGUGGAAAGCUCAUCAAGUGACGGUAACUACCCAGAAAGGGACGGCGAACUACGU